CACUCUCCUCCACACAUUGCCACGUCAUCUUUUCUAAUAAAACAAAUUCUCUCUCUCUUCAAUUGAGCAACCGUGCUUCUCACGCGCUGAAACUCUUCUUCAUGUAUUUUCUUCCCAUCCUGCAUUCUCCUCUUCCAACUGAAACCUCCCUCUUCCCCUAAAAAUUCUCCACUUCAAAUCAGUUAUUCACAAACCUGUAAACCGCACCUAAAUCAGAUAUUAUGGAAUUUAAAUUGAUUUUCAAUUUGCAUUUUCAAAAUGGGGCGCCUUGGGUGAAAAUUUGGGGCUUUUUCAGGAGAAAAUUUAGGAAUUUCAUACUCCUCUGUUUAGGGUUAACACAACCUCCAACCUCUAAAAACCCUUUUGUCAAACAUUUUCAUCUCACACAAGUUCAUCGCUGUAACCGUUUGUUCAAUGGGUUCUCCGUGUUCUUCUCCAACUGCAUAAAUUCUAGAUUUCACAUCCGUUCACCUGUGCAAAGGAAAAGAAAUUAGACUGACAACUCUAAUCCAGCACAAGUAAGUUCAAGUAAAAUUCUUGGUUUAAACAAAUAAAAGCUCGCUGCAUUCUUAGUUUGCUGCGACCUAGAGAAAAGAUCAUAGAGUGGAGUUGACUUCAACUGAAUAAAUAGGGGGCCGCGCAAGAGGGAGGCUCGCAGAGUUCGUUGUUGCUCUGCAAUUUUCGCUCCAAUUUUUGACAAUUCUUUCUCUCAGCUUAAUCAGCAUUUUGUGAACCGCAAGGGUGAAUAAUUUGACCUAAACCCAUCUUUUUUCUUCAGAGACGGUAGCAAAGAAACGCCCACAUGACACUGGAGGUGGCAGUUCCAGGUGCAGUGGACUAAAUCGAUCUGGAAAAAGUUUUUCUACCCUCUUAUUUAGUGGAGGCUAUAUGCAUACAUCUAAAAGCCAGCUUGGACAAACUUUCCAAGUAAGCUUUAUCUCUUUUUCUUCUUACCUAUUUGUCUUUGUUCUACUACUGCAAUGCCAAAUUUUUAACUUCUCUUUGUAGAUUUUGGGUAAAUCCUAAUAUUUUGAUUAUGAUUACUUCCUAACUGCACAUACUUGGGUUUGUGAUUAUGUAUAUGUACUGGCAUGCUCCCACUACAUGCAAGUUCAAGGCUGGAAAUAAUCAAUUAGUACUUACUUCAUUUGCUAUACUCACCACUUCGACCAACUGUUGACGUAGCAGAAAUAUUUCUUUGGCUGAUGGUUGUUUUUACAAUAUUGUGUGCGUUAUAUUGGUCACCGUGGUGGCCCAAAAUAGAGGAAAGGCAAAAGUUUGUGCCCUUUACGAGCCAUGUCAUAUACUGUCACCUCUUCAUCUCUGAUCAACUGGAGUUCAUAUAUCCUCAACUUAUUUCUGCAGGGGACUAUGAAAUCCCAAACACUAAAGACGCACGCAUACUCACCCACUUUGGCCAGCAUAAUUAUUUCUUUGACUGAUUGUAGUUUUUACCAUAUUGUGUGCAUCAUAUUGGUCAGCAUGGAGGUCCCAAACAAUUUUUAUGACUUUUACUUCUUCCUUCCUCUUUUAUGCAUAAAUGGGAUGAGAUUCCUUGCAGCAUCAAAUUUUCUUUCAUCUUAUGGCUAUGGAAAUUUAAAUUCAGUCCAUAUAUAGCUUUUGUCUUUAUCUUUUGAUAAAAAAAAUACAGUGAUGGUUGUAUGCAGUUCUGGAACCCCAACUAUUUAGAUAAUUUGUUCUAACUCUUGCAUAUUGGUAUAUAUGCACUUUAAUGUUGUAUUUGCAGGUGAUAGAAUUUCUCAAGUCACUCGAGGUAUGGCUGUCAAGCUCCUUAGAGAGAAUUACAUAUAUCUUAAAGAAUUAAGAAAUUCAAUUUUUUUUUCUCUUGCUUCCUACUUACCAAAAAAAAUCACUAAGCAUUACCUUUAUGUCUGUUUAGUUUUUUUCUCAAGUCACUCAAGGUGUGGCUUCUGUUUUCAGCACUAUAUUUAACCACUUAAACAGGAGUUACUGUUAAAAAUAAAGCCACUUAAAUUAGAAAAGAAAGGUUUCACAGUUACAAAAAUGAAUGGUCAUAAGUUAUUAUACAUUAAGGAGCAUUUAGUGUGUUUGGGGCCAUCAUUAUUUGUUAUGUAACCACUAAGCAUUAGCUUUAUGUCUGUUUAGUUUUUUUAAUUAAGGUGUUAUGUAUUGGUUAUGAGCUACUCUUUAAUAAAUGGAGUAUCAUCUCAUGUAGCAUGUGCAGGAUGUGUGGCAAAAUCAUGUCCUUUCUAGAUUCUUGCUGUAGUAUAUUUAAAAGUAGAGUCAUUCAGUUUAUUUUAAGCAUUCCUUCUAUUAUAUUUGUUCACAGCAUGAGAUGCCUUAUUAUUGUGAUGAUUUUCAUUGUUACUUUAGGACAAUGGGAAACAAAUUAGUUUGUGUGUUUCUUCCUCUCCUUAUUAUAAGCAUUCAAAAGGUGGUCACCAAUCGCCAUUGGGGGUUAGGGAUUGAGGGUAGAGUCUGAACGGUCCCAGGCGCACAAGAGGGAGAGGAGAGAUCGGAAAGGAUAUCAACAUGGAUGCUCUGUCAGUCAUUAUUUAAUUAUUAAUAGUUUCAGAGCAGAUGAAUUUAAACUUGAAUUUUGAAAUUGGUUGUUCAACAGGCAUUCUACUACGCAGGAAAGACUAUCAUGUCAAAUGAGGAAUUUGAUAAUCUCAAAUGUGGGAAGGGAGCAGUGUUGUAAUGCUAGGUUCUGGUGAGCAAAAAUUCUUGGAAGCAGCUAUGGGUUAUGUGUCUGAAAAAUCAAUCAUGAGCAAUGGAGAUUAUGCUGAUUUAAAACAGAGGCUAAAGGAAACCCAGUUGAUAAAGUCAAUUUGUAUCUGCUAGAGACAAGCAAAGAUGGCAGCAGUGGCUGUUGUCAUAAAAGAAAAGCAAAGAGUGUUCAUACUCCCCUUAUAUUUCUCUGAGCCUGACUAACAAUUGUCCUUAUACUGGCCUAAUGGUGCCUCCUAAGUCCUAACAUAUCCUUUUUACUCUGCAUUCAUUCUACAUUUGGUUGUCUGAGGAGAACUUAUGAAUGAAAUGAUGGCUGCAAAUUCAAGAAAACACACAUUGGAGGCUUUGGAGAGAACAAAUGUUGUUGCUUAAAAUUAAAUUCUCUUAAAAGAAAAGAAGAGCAAAAAAGCUAUAAAUAUAAGCACGGAUAUGGCAGGAGUCAUUAUCAACUCAGAUGGGGGUUCCGAUGAGUCCUAACCACCUGUCUUGAGUGUUUAGAAGCUUACAAAAAGGAGCUCUAUAUGUAUGUUGAUUUGGUGUUUCAUUUAAUCCUAUUAACUUCAUCGUCCCUGCAAUCAAACAAGGAGAAGAAAGAUGUUUCUUUUCAAAUCUCUAUCAAUGUAUCACCAUUAAUUUCUUAAAAUCUUUUGAUUAAUCUAUCUUUUGCUUCUAUUGGGAAAUUUCAUGAUGGGAAAUGAGGAAUGUAUAUAUAGUUGUGCUCCUGUUCCCCGUGUAUUAUUUGGCAUUUGUUCAUGUUAUUUUCACCAAGAAAAUUCUGAGAUUUGAUA